GACGAACGCUGGCGGCGUGCCUAAUACAUGCAAGUUGAGCGCUGAAGGUUGGUACUUGUACCAACUGGAUGAGCAGCGAACGGGUGAGUAACGCGUGGGGAAUCUGCCUUUGAGCGGGGGACAACAUUUGGAAACGAAUGCUAAUACCGCAUAAAAACUUUAAACACAAGUUUUAAGUUUGAAAGAUGCAAUUGCAUCACUCAAAGAUGAUCCCGCGUUGUAUUAGCUAGUUGGUGAGGUAAAGGCUCACCAAGGCGAUGAUACAUAGCCGACCUGAGAGGGUGAUCGGCCACAUUGGGACUGAGACACGGCCCAAACUCCUACGGGAGGCAGCGGUAGGGAAUCUUCGGCAAUGGACGAAAGUCUGACCGAGCAACGCCGCGUGAGUGAAGAAGGUUUUCGGAUCGUAAAAACUCUGUUGGUAGAGAAAGAAACGUUGG
rnacentral:rRNA from 1 species